UCUAUGGGUCCAAAGUCCAUCUAUGGGUCAAUCUAUGGGUCCCAGGUCAAUCUAUGGGUCCAAGGUCAAUCUAUGGGUCCGAGCUCCCACUUUGUGUCAAUCUAUGGGUCCGAAGUCCAUCUAUGGGUCAAUCUAUGGGUCCCAGCUCCAUCUAUGGGUCAAUCUAUGGGUCCCAGGUCCAUCUAUGGGUCCGAAGUCCAUCUAUGAGUCAAUCUAUGGGUCAAUCUAUGGGUCCCAGGUCCAUCUAUGGGUCCCAGGUAAAUCUAUGGGUCCAAAGUCCAUCUAUGGGUCAAUCUAUGGGUCCCAGCUCCAUCUAUGGGUCAAUCUAUGGGUCCCAGGUCCAUCUAUGGGUCAAUCUAUGGGUCCCAGGUCCCCCUAUGGCUGUCCCUCGCACCACUCCCUGGCAUUGAGGAACAUCUUUAACCACGGCGCCGCCCCCCCUUUGGCCGCCCCAUUUUCCCCCCCCCAUUUGGGCCCCACAUCGGCCCCACAUCUCCCCCCCCACUUAUGGGGCCAAUAACCCCAUUGCCAACGUAAAACCCCCCGUUCUGGAUGGGGCAUAACAGCCAAAUGGCGACCGCACGGGGACAAGAUGGCCGCCACCCCCCCCGGGGAUCCAUUGGGGUUCAUGGGGUAACGUUGGGUCGGCCGACCCCCGUCGUCCACGUACAGUAAUGGCGUCAGGCCGGCUUCCUGUAGGACCGGAAGUGAAGAGGGGCGGCGGAAACGGAAACGGCCUAAACAGGAAGUGGAGGAGAUGGUAAAGAUGGCGGCUGAGUGACUUCCUGUUAGAACAGGAAGUAGGAAGUGGCCUAAACAGGAAGUGGAGGAGGGGGUAAAGAUGGCGGCUGAGUGACUUCCUGUUAGAACAGGAAGUAGGAAGUGGCCUAAACAGGAAGUGGAGGAGGGGGG